GAUCGCUAUCUAGGUUGUCUAGAUUCAGGAGAUGUGUGUUUCAGGUUUGAUCAGCUAUAGAAAAAGAGUCGUCUACAUCGUAGUACCAGAUCCCGAGUCCUCAAAAUGUGAUGCUAUAUGCAAUGAAAAGGUUUCUCUUCUUCCAUAGACUGUAUACAUAUAACUGGAUACAAGAAACAGGUGCAUUUAUAGCAGGAGUAGUCUUAUAGCAGCGUUCUUAGGACUGGCAGGAGGCUUAACAUAUCACACGAGUGAGCAUUGCUGCCGGAGCUUGCGUCGCUUAUUUCCACCACGGGUUGUCGCCGGUCCUGAAGUCGGUCUCCACCCACGGCACGAAGACGACCUUGCCGUCGUCGACGUCGGCGUGAACAAGGGCCAGCGACUGUUUCAGAAGAGCAAUGCAGAUGAGGUCAGCUUGGUUCAGUUCAGUAAUAAGCAAACAAUGUGUUCUUCAGAAAGGUUCAGUUAAGAUAGGAGGGCAUGUUUGUUUUCUUACCAGAGGUGCAGGCCCACGGACAACCUUGCCCUGGUUGUUGUACUGGGAUCCAUGGCAGGGGCAGAGGAACUUGUUCUCGGCGGCGUUCCACGG
rnacentral:lncRNA from 1 species